rnacentral:lncRNA from 1 species
UACUAUAAUUAAUAACAUAGUACACCAUAUAAAAAUAUAUUCUACAAUAUACUAAUCACUACUAUACAAGAUAUUGAUUUAAAAAAAAAAAACUCGGAACCGCCUGGAACCGCCAGAACCGCGGUUCCGGAACCGCCAGAACCGGAACCGGGCUGUUCCGGAACCGUAUGGUAGCGGUUCCGGCUCCGGAACCGCUAGAACCGGAACCGCCAGAACCGCAGAACCGGAACCGCAGACCCAAAUAGACCCAGAACCGGAACCGGAUACAGCCUUACAGGUAACACAGAGUCACAGACCCAAAUCGUGAGCUUCUUCUUUUUCAACCACAAAAUGGCACUGCCAGACCUAUCCCCCUCACGCCGGACACACACACAUCAAUAGACCGUUGUGCUUCCACCUCCGAGCUCGCCGAAAAAGCCAUGAAAACCAACCCAGAAGUCCAUCCAAAAGACGCAACAAAUUUCAACUAAAAAUCAGGUCCAAAAUCACUCAAAAGCUACAGCUGAAACCACGCUGAAUAACGCAGCAAUAACAGUCCACAAACUACCAUGAAUCACUUGCCAAACUAAAAUGUUGUAGGAAAUCAUUGCUAAAGUGAGGUUUGGUUCAAGUUCGUUGGUUCGAGGUCCUAGUUGAUGGCUCUUUUAAAGAUUUUUGUUUCGGGGGCUUCCAUACUGUUAUACGCAGCAGAAAAGAAAUUAGCAAUAAAGGUCCACUCUUCUUCUUUGUUAUUUCCUUGGCAGUAGAAUCGCUUUUUGUGCGUCAUUUGAUUGUUCUUAUGGUGCAAAAUUGAUUAGCAACCUAUUAGUUUUCGUUGUUUUUUCCCCUUUUGUUCUGUACUAUUUUUUAAUGUGUCAGCAUGACUAACUACAUGACCAUCCGCUUUCUAGUAGAAUUAGUCGUUCAAUGUGAUUCUCCAAAUAAUUUAAUGGAUUAAAAAGGAUAUUAAACUUCUAUAAUGCCGUUGAUUUGGUGCCUAGUGCCUCUCGGUUUGAAAGGUAGGUUGUUGAACUAUGGGUUUGAUGAGGUUAUGUAGGUUAAAAAAG